rnacentral:rRNA from 1 species
GAUUAUGGCUCAGGAUGAACGCUAGCGGCAGGCUUAACACAUGCAAGUCGAGGGGCAACGCGAGUAGCAAUACUUGGCGGCGACCGGCGCAAGGGUGCGUAACGCGUGAGCAACAUGCCCGUAUCAGGGGGAUAAUCCAGGGAAACUUGGUCGAAUACCCCAUAGUAAUUUUGUAAGGCAUCUUAUAAGAUUUAAAGCUUUGGUGGAUACGGAUUGGCUCGCGUGACAUUAGCUGGAUGGUAAGGUAACGGCUUACCAUGGCUAUGAUGUCUAGGGGUUCUGAGAGGAAGGUCCCCCACACUGGAACUGAGACACGGUCCAGACUCCUACGGGAGGCAGCAGUGAGGAAUAUUGGACAAUGGAUGGAAAUCUGAUCCAGCCAUGCCGCGUGAAGGAAAGAAGGUCCUAUGGAUUGUAAACUUCUUUUGUAUGGGAGCAAUAAGGCCUACGAGUAGGCUGAUGAGAGUACCAUACGAAUAAGCACCGGCUAACUCCGUGCCAGCAGCAGC